GAUGAAGAACGUAGCGAAAUGCGAUAAGUAAUGUGAAUUGCAGAAUUCAGUGAAUCAUCGAAUCUUUGAACGCACAUUGCGCCCGCCAGUAUUCUGGCGGGCAUGCCUGUCUGAGCGUCAUUUCCACCCUCAUGCCCCUAGGGCGUGGUGUUGGGGAUCGGCCAAAGCCCGCGAGGGACGGCCGGCCCCUAAAUCUAGUGGCGGACCCGUCGUGGCCUCCUCUGCGAAGUAGUGAUAUUCCGCAUCGGAGAGCGAUGAGCCCCUGCCGUUAAACCCCCAACUUUCCAAGGUUGACCUCAGAUCAGGUAGGAAUACCCGCUGAACUUAAGCAUAUCAAUAAGCGGAGGA
rnacentral:misc_RNA from 1 species